GAUGAAGAACGUAGCGAAAUGCGAUAAGUAAUGUGAAUUGCAGAAUUCAGUGAAUCAUCGAAUCUUUGAACGCACAUUGCGCCCGGUAGUAUUCUGCCGGGCAUGCCUGUUCGAGCGUCAUUUCAACCAUCAAGCCCCAGCGCUUGUGUUGGGGGCCUGCGGCUGCCGCAGCCCCCUAAAAGCAGUGGCGGGCUCGCUAUCACACCGAGUGCAGUAGUUCAUCUUCUCUCCGGUCUUGUGAGGCGGGUUCCGGCCGUGAAACACCCCACUACAUUCAAGGUUGACCUCGGAUCAGGUAGGAAUACCCGCUGAACUUAAGCAUACAAUAAGCGGAGGA
rnacentral:misc_RNA from 1 species